rnacentral:rRNA from 1 species
GAUGAACGCUAGCUACAGGCUUAACACAUGCAAGUCGAGGGGCAGCACAGUGUAGCAAUACAUGGGUGGCGACCGGCGCACGGGUGCGUAACGCGUAUCCAACCUUCCCGUUACUCUUGGAUAGCCUUCCGAAAGGGAGAUUAAUACAGGAUGGUGUUUGAAUUCCGCAUGUUAUUCAAACUAAAGAUUUAUCGGUAACGGAUGGGGAUGCGUGACAUUAGAUAGUAGGCGGGGUAACGGCCCACCUAGUCUACGAUGUCUAGGGGUUCUGAGAGGAAGGUCCCCCCACACUGGAACUGAGACACGGUCCAGACUCCUACGGGAGGCAGCAGUGAGGAAUAUUGGUCAAUGGUCGGAAGACUGAACCAGCCAAGUAGCGUGAAGGAUGAAGGUUCUAUGGAUUGUAAACUUCUUUUAUACGGGAAUAAAACCUCCCACGUGUGGGAGCUUGUAUGUACCGUAUGAAUAAGCAUCGGCUAACUCCGU